UAUCGUUACGGUAUGAUCUUGAGAGCAGAGGCAAAAGCAGUAAGUAUGGUUAAUGGAAAUAAACGCCUAAUAGGAAAAAAGGGAAGAAAAUGACCAAACGAUAUGAGGGCGGUGAGUGGAUGUUGGGAUCGGACGCAGUAGAAGAUCAGAACGAGCUUGGCUGAUCUCAGAAAAUAGGAAUAAAAGAAAAGGAGAAGAAGACGAAUCGUAAAAUCAUAGACGUCAAAGACGAAACUCCUGUAGUGUGACAAAACUAUUUUAAAAAGGCUGAUUCUGCUGACGGGUGUGCCACUAUUUAA